GUAGAAUUUAAGAUAAAUUUGGUUUACUGAAUACAACGAAAUUGAUAAUUCUAACGUUUUUUUUCUCAAAAAAUAUGGAAACCCAAACCAUUUUCCGAUAUUGAAGGAGGCAAUUAGCAUAAGCUGCUGCAAAACCUCAUUCGUUUUUGCCAUCAACAUUAACCAAUUUAACCACAUCUAUACGAUGUUUUCAUCGUGAACGAAAGAACGAUUU